rnacentral:lncRNA from 1 species
AGUGUUGUGUGUGGGUUCUCCGUGGCGGACGGGGCUACGAGUGGGCCCCGCUUUUGGCGCUGGUACCAGGAGCUCUGAGAGGAACGUGGGCGAGCUCGGAAGCUGCGCCAUGGAUCUCGGGUUUCCCAGGUUGGCCUCAAACUUUCUCUUAGCCGAGGAAGACCUUGAACUUCUGAUCCCGCUACCUAAACCCACCUCCAGAGUGCUGGGAUUAAGGGUGUGUGACUAUAUGCCCCCCCUUUUGUGAGUGUAUGUGUGUUUUUCUGGGGAAGGAACGUAGGGCUUUGUGGCAGUAGUCAAACAUUCUAUCUGAUUCUGAGUAUGUCUUGCCAGAUAAUGUUUAGAUCAACUCUCUGUUAUUUUCAACAUAAAUUGUGAGCAUUUGAUGUGUUGAAUUUGUAGAUCAAAAUGAUAACUGUCAUAAUUUUGGGCUUCUUCCCAAAACCAUGGAAAUCCCUCCACUUACUAAGUUCUUUGAUUGUUUUUAUAUUAGAAAUAUAUAAUUUUUGUGUACAGACGUUAAUAACAUUAAUAUGCAAAUAUGUCUCACUUUAUCUUUGCUCUAUAAGCUAUGUGGUGGUUUUAAUUUUACAUCCAAAUAUUCUUUUGUCGAUGUGCAUAC